rnacentral:rRNA from 1 species
GACGAACGCUGGCGGCGUGCUUAACACAUGCAAGUCGAACGGAAAGGCCCUGCUUUUGUGUGGUGCUCGCGUGGCGAACGGGUGAGUAACCCGUGAGUAACCUGCCCUUGACUUUGGGAUAACUUCAGGAGACUGGGGCUAAUACCGGCUAGGAGCUCCUGCUGCAUGGUGGGGGUUGGAAAGUUUCGGCGGUUGGGGAUGGACUCGCGGCUUAUCAGCUUGUUGGUGGGGUAGUGGCUUACCCAGGCUUUGACGGGUAGCCGGCCUGAGAGGGUGACCGGCCACAUUGGGACUGAGAUACGGCCCAGACUCCUACGGGAGGCAGCAGUGGGGAAUAUUGCACAAUGGGCGGAAGCCUGAUGCAGAAACGCCGGGUGUGGGAUGACGGCCUUCGGGUUGUAAACCGCUUUCGCCUGUGACGAAGCGUGAGUGACGGUAAUGGGUAAAGAAGCACCGGCUAACUACGUG